AACUUCUCUGAAGACAUCAACAGUAGCUAAACUGUGAAUACUGCCCAGGCACAAGGGCAUUUCCUUCUGAGAGCCAGCCAGAGCUUGGACACUUACUCCAGAAAGGUUUCAGGACUUCAGGAAUACCGUCAAAUGUGACUCUGCAGCCAGCCACAGCACCUGGGCAAUUAGAAGUGCCACAUCAUUCUCCAGGCCAUCUGACUCAGCUUUGAUGUGAGCAAGGACAAAGUGCAGUGAUGACAGGCAGGACCAUCACAUCAGAGCCCAGCAAUAGAUGCAUCUUCUCAAGAUCAGUUCAACUCAGCUCUGAACUGGUGCCUGACAAUCCCAAAUCAAAGGGCGUCCAGUGGAAGAUCACAGUUAUGGCAGUUUGGGGAGAAGGAAACAAAACCACUGUUCAUCCAUGCAAUGAAAUAUCUUGUCACAAGUAUCUUACUCUAACUGUUUCUGAGACAAUGCCUUCAGGACUUGCUGUGUCGUCUGUCCCUCCCCAUAGGACGCAAAUCAUUUGGUACCACCUGAGCCAUACUUCGCUGUGGGGCCCAGCAGAGCCCCACAGACACUUGGAAGAGGAUUAUGGGUCCUUUCCCACAAAUCUAGAGACAGUCAUCACCUGCCUUGGCUUGUGACUACCUCUUCACAGGUUUCUGCCGGCUGCAAGGAUAUUUGGAUGCCAUAGCCUGAAUGUCUGCCACCAACUAGCUGUCCCUCUUCUCUGUUUAAUGUGAAUAUCCUGUAAUUGGAGUGUCAAGCUUCUCACUGCCACCACUGAGGAGGAGGAUACGGAGGAGGAACCAGAAGAAAUCCAUCUUUGCCGUAAUGAAUGCAUGCAGUUCAG
rnacentral:lncRNA from 12 species